GCGAGCGUAGCUCAGUCCGGUAGAGCAUCACCUUGCCAAGGUGAACGUCGAGGGUUCGAAUCCCUUCGCUCGCUCCA
rnacentral:tRNA from 1 species